GAAGAUUGCAGGACUCCCUGCCCACAACUAUGCUGGGCCCCAGGAUCGCCUUUCCUUCCAGAUUUCUAUGCAGAUGCUUCAGCCUUCCAAUGCAGACUCUUCAGCUUUCUGUCAUGGAUUUGUUCUAAAUUCUGCAGUGACCUCCAGGCCUUUGACCUUUUACUGGAUCCUCUAGCUCUCCAGCUUGAAGGGCUUCACAGAAUUUGCUCUGAGUCUCAGAGGAAACUUUGGACUUGGACUUUUCAGCAUUCCUGGAACUGUUAAGACUGUGACAACUCUUAAAGAUGGACUAAAUGCAUUUCCAGAGGUGGGGCAUGGUUGGAAGGGAUGAUCCACUAGGGGCAUGCCUGGGAAGAGUGUAUUCUAGUCCAUAGCUCUUCACUUCUCUCUCUGCUUCCUAUUCCAAGGGCUUAGAGAUCACCUCCCAGGAGCCAGUAGCAAAGACUAGACCAUUCUUUGAGUAAGAUUAAUUCUUUUCCUUUCCCCUUCUUUCUCUCUCUCCCUCCCUGUAUAUCUGUCUCUGUUUUGCCCUGUCUCUCUAUCUCUGUCGUUGACUCUCUGUCUCUAUCUCUGUCUCUGUCUGUCUCUUUCUCUCUCUCUUGUUCUCUGUUUCACAGUGCUAGGGAUAGUAUCUAGGGCCUCGCUCAUGGUAGGCAAGCACUCUACUACUCAGUUAUACUCCCCAGCUCACUAAGGUUAAGUUACCUAAAAUGAUACAAAAUAUGUAAAAGUUCUUUUUAAAAGACCAUCACAGAGCUAACAAAAUAGCAGAAUUAUUAGGCAAAAAUUACAUGAACAUGGAGUCAUAGAGGUACAGUAUGUAAAGAAAGACAUAAAGCUUGAAGGCAAGUGCCAAUCCUAGGGGGCUUGUUCAGCUAGCCUCAGAGGGAUGGGGACCAAGACGAAGUCCGGGGUCCACCUAAGAUGGAACAUCUAGUAGGAGACCUUUCUGCACGUAAUUCUGGGACCUCUAAGUGUAAGGGUAAGCCAGAAAAAGUUACUUUUCACCACCAUCUCAUGCAGGGAUUUUUACUUUAGCACUAAACAGUGAUGGAAGGGGGCACAACAAUCUCUGAGAUGUAACAGUGAGCUUAUGUUGACACAGAUUUGCAGCCCAGUCACUCAGAUUUUCAGUCCAAUAGAACCUCAGACUUUUCUUUAUGAUGAUAGUUUCCUAAAUGCAGAGACAUUUGGCUACAUCUACAUAGACAUUUCUGUUUUUAAAAAAUUAAACCUUGUUUCUUUGGCAAUAUUCACAAAAG
ensembl:lncRNA